UCCUGAGCGAGACGACCGCGGCCCUUAGGCCCUGGGUGGGGUGGAGCGUCCUCGGGGCCCGGCUGGGUUCAGAUGCAGACUCUUCCCCUUGACAACGUGAUGCUCGGGAGGGCUCGUGCCUUGGUUUCCCCUCUAGCACCACAGAGCGAGCUGCCCCUCCUGCUGGCUGGGGGGACCCGAGGGCCCGGGGCCGCGCUUGCUGGGACUCUGGGUGUGACCAGCCCCGCCCCCACCGGGGCUAGGGACGGGGCAUUGGAGGGUUUCGGUCCGUGACAGGCACGUCCGUGGGGCGAGCGGGGGCCGUGUCAGCCCUGCGUCAGCCAGAACAGGAAGCUGCGGCCGGGAGCGCCCCACCCUGCGGGGCCCCUGCGGCCACCACACCUGUCCCGGAGCCACACAAGCACCGCAGGGGAGGCAGCCCCCGCCCUCAGGCUUCCUGGGCUCCCAGCACCCACCGUCGCACCCCCUGGCCUGCGGGGGCUCCCCCGGCUCCAGCUGCCUCGCCUCUGGGUGCUCUGCUGGUUUCCGGGGCCCCAUUUCCGCCCCCGCCCCGGGCAGUCUCAUGUUUUACUUUGCAGAGCCGUGGGGAGCAGAGCAUUUGGGGGUGGACGCAGCCUGGGCCCGAUUCCUCCGAGUGGAAACCAGCGGAGGGCACAGUGACCUCACGGCAACCCGGGGAAUCUGGACCCGUCCAGGCCAGGGCAUCCGCCCCCGCCAGGUGCGCCGUGGGGAAAGCGCGUCUCUCUCUGCUCUGAGCCUCGGGUUCUGGCAUUUUGGUAAAAUGCCGAGGACGAUGAUUCCGGCGUGGGCAGCUUGGUCAGGGUGCUCUGAGGCGCCUGCAGAUCCCGGAUGGGAGAGCGCAGGAGUGCGCCUGGCGGGCGGUGAGGGGGCCUGGAGAAGUCACCGGGUGAGGCCGGGAGAAUCUGCAGAGAGGCCCCCACCAGCAAGCACGGCUGCACGGAGGACCCGUGAGAGGGCAGGAGAAGAAAGUCCUGAAGGGCAUGUGGUCCUUGAAGAAGCCGAGGAUGAGGAGGGUGAAGCUCUGCCCCGCGGCGGCAGCUUGGGUCUGGGUCACCCGAGUGGUCCCUGAGGCUCCGGGGCAGCAGGAUGCGAGAGAGAGGCGGAGACCCAGGCAGAGGGAGGAGCAGGCUCCACGCAGGGAGCCCGACGCGGGACUCGAUCCCGGGACCCCGGGGUCAUAGCCUGAGCCGAGGGCAGAUGCUCGACCACGGAGCCCCCCAGGCGUCCUGAAGAUUCCAUUUUUAAAAUAUCAAAUAUCUGAUUCAUCAGUGCAUGUUUAUUACAAGCUGAAACGGUGAUUUUUUUAACAUACCGGUUAAAUGAGAGACAUCAUUAAAAUAAAUUUCACUUUCCCGAAAACCUUUUGACC